CGAAAGCCUGACGGAGCAAGACCGCGUGGGGGAGGAAUGCCUUAGGGUUGUAAACCCCUUUUAUCUGGGAAGAACAAAAUGACGGUACCAGAUGAAUAAGCCUCGGCUAACUCCGUGCCAGCAGCCGCGGUAAUACGGAGGAGGCAAGCGUUAUCCGGAUUUAUUGGGCGUAAAGCGUUCGCAGGUGGUUCUUCAAGUCUGCUGUCAAAACCCAGGGCUCAACUCUGGUCAGGCAGUGGAAACUACAUAGCUAGAGUUCGGUAGGGGCAAAGGGAAUUCCCGGUGUAGCGGUGAAAUGCGUAGAGAUCGGGAAGAACAUCGGUGGCGAAAGCGCUUUGCUAGACCGAAACUGACACUCAGGGACGAAAGCUAGGGGAGCG
rnacentral:rRNA from 1 species